UCACCUGGGGAGAGACUGGUGGGUCAGACUACAGGAGGCUGCGGAGAACCUCCCCCGGAGCACCCCUGCGGGCGGCUCUGGGUUUCAGCAUCGGGGACGCGGCCCCGGCCCGGGAACCAAGUGGAGAGCCACCCCAGCCAGGAAGACUGCCCCUUCCUCAGACGUGCUCGGCAAAGUCUUCCGCCAGGAUGUCCCCUGGGAACCUGCGGGGCGGAGAGGGAGUUUUACGGGUAGAUGGCAGUGCCAGCUGCACGACAAUGGGCGUGGACUUCGUGCCACUGAACCGGGCACUUAAAAACGGUCUGCAGUGCUGCACUUCCAAAGGCUGCCCCUCAGGCCAUCCUCUGAGUCAGUGCUCCGCAGCACUUUGGUUUUUUCUGGAUCCACCCUCUUCUGAGCACCCUCUCCUGGUUGGCACCACCACCGGCCUCUCUGGCUGCUGCUGCUCCUCCUCAUUGGUAGGCCCCUCACCCUCCAUCCAUCCUAAAAGGGGGGCGUUCCCGGGAGUCCAUCCUCGUCUCCCCCUUUCUCACUGGACACACGCUUCUCAUAGGGUUUGACCACUUCUGUAGCUUCACCUUCGUCUACAGUUUCUAAAUCUCCAGUCCCCACUUCUCCCCGUCCUGAGCUUCAGACCUGUUUCCCACCAGCCUCCAGGAAUCUCCACCUGCGAGGCACCGAGGUUGAGGAUGGCAAAAUGCUCGACGUGUAGGCGGGACCAGACUUGGAAUCCAGUGGGUGCAGAGAUUUGUCGCAGGGGCAGUGCACCCACCUCUGGUGGCCACAAGCCCCAUGGACAGCAAGGGGAUCAAACCAGUCCAUCCUAAAGGAAAUCAACCCUGAAUAUUCACUAGAAGGAC